rnacentral:rRNA from 1 species
UGGGAACGUGCCCAAAGGUACGGAACAACUCCGGGAAACUGGAGCUAAUACCGUAUGUGCCCGAAAGGGGAAAGAUUCAUCGCCUUUGGAUCGGCCCGCGUCUGAUUAGCUAGUUGGCGGGGUAAUGGACCACCAAGGCGACGAUCAGUAGCUGGUCUGAGAGGAUGACCAGCCACACUGGGACUGAGACACGGCCCAGACUCCUACGGGAGGCAG